CUGGCCCUGAAUUAAGGCCAGCAGCUUCCCGACACUGUUGGUUUCAAGCAGGAGCCUAAAGAGAUGUCUUUCUAUGGUCUGUUGGCCAUUUCACAACUUGGGCAGUGAAAUGGUCAAUCCAUUAGAAAGAAACAGCU
ensembl:snoRNA